rnacentral:rRNA from 1 species
UACGGAGGGUGCAAGCGUUGUCCGGAUUUAUUGGGUUUAAAGGGUGCGUAGGCGGCUGAAUAAGUCAGCGGUGAAAGACUUCGGCUUAACCGGAGCAGUGCCGUUGAUACUGUUUAGCUUGAGUGUUUGGAGGGGUACAUGGAAUUGAUGGUGUAGCGGGUGAAAUGCAUAGAUACCAUCAGGAACACCGAUAGCGAAGGCAUUGUACUGGCCAACAACUGACGCUGAGGCACGAAAGUGUGGGGAUCGAACAGG